UCCCCGCUGGCCUAAUGGACAAAGUACUGGCCUUAUAAGCCAGGGAUUGUGGGUUCAAGUCCCACCUAGGGUG
rnacentral:tRNA from 1 species